CCCGUCUCGGCAGUCCAUGUGCCACGUCACGUGAGCUGUCAGAUUGCUGGCCGCGUGUCCGUCCGUGCGCCACCUGAGCUUGAGCCACACCCCCUCUCGCGCCUCUAGAGCUGCUAGUUCUAAGCCACGCCCCCGCUGCUGCUACGCCGCCUCCCAGUCCUUUCCUGCCUGUUGCCUCUGCUCUGCGGUUUCUUCCCGAUUUCAUUCCGUGCAAGUCCUUGUUUGGGCGCGUUGCUUGCUGCUUUUCUUUCCUGCCCAGGGCUACUGGUUCCAUAACUGGGUCUAAAGAACUGAAAAUGUGGGAUGUUCAUAACCAAGGCAGUAGAUUUUAACCAGUAGAGAGGAGGAGGAAGCUUUUUUUCACACCAGGAAAAAAAAUGGACACCUGUUGGAUUUCUGCCUGUUCCAUUGAAGGUGCUGGCAUCUGGUUAGAAAAUGGCAAUGAUAACUUUGGAGAAUUCCUCCAGACUUAUACACAAGCGCAGGUCACAAUGAUGAAUUGCAACUGCGGAACAAAGAGAAAGAUCCCCCCUCCUCCUUACUUAAUUUUACUUAUCUUUGUCCACCCACUUUCCCACCCUACUCAAUAUUUGUACUGGAGAAAGGCUUAUUCCUCACAGAAUUGGCUCAUGUGGUUGGAAGCAAUCUUCAAAAAGCGCCCUUCAUUUCUAAUUUACCAUAUCAGUCCACCCUAACACAAUAAAACACACUGCAAUAAAUCAUUUUUAUAAAAAGACUCUUACGCUUCUGUUCACACUCCUGCUUAUUGUGCACAUUCUGCAUUUCCAAUACUGGGUUUUUAAUCCAUAUUCACAUGACAUCCCAAAUGUGUAUGUAUCCUGCUUGUUGUAUUGUUUUUCAAACCUACUUCACACCCAUUGGAAUCCUUAAGCCAUUUCUAAUUCAUCUCUAGCUAAGAUAUGAACAUUUUUGCAUAGGGUAAAGACAUCCCCACUCAGUCAUCACCCCCUGGUAUGUGCACAAACAAAAACUAAUUGAAGUUGUGCUGAUGUGAAUUUAAUUUACCUUUCAUUUUAUCUUCCAAAAAUACUUUUUUGGCAUAACUCAUUUGUUUCAGAUGCAGAAAUCCUGGACUUCACUUUCACCCUCCUUUAAUUUGUUCUUUUCCAAUUUAUCUGAACAUUCUACAAUAGGCAUCCCCAGACUUCAACCUUCCAGAUGUUUUGGACUACAAUUCCCAUCUUCCCCGACCACUGGUCCUCUUAGCUAGGGAUCAUGGGAGUUGUAGGCCAAAACAUCUGGAGGGCCGCAGUUUGGGGAUGCCUGUUCUACAACCUUGUAGUCACCAGAGUAUUUGCCCAGGGCUAUCCAAACAGGGCCACAUUUUAAGAAUGUGUAUCUAAGUGCACAGGUUUCUAAUAGAUAUUUGACAUGUCAAGUAUUAGCCCUACAUUUGCAGCUUGUAUUGAAAAAGGCAUAAUGAAUAAACAAGAGGACUGUUGCAGCCUGAGGAGUUUCAUGGUUACCUCAGAACUCCUGCUUUAUCGGGGAAUUUACUUAAGUUGCUGUCUUUUUUUUAGUUUUAGUUUAGUGUUUUGUUUACUGUUACAUAUGUGUUUUUACAUGAAUAAAAUGUGGUUCCUUUAGCUGUUGUUGGACUUCAACACCCAGCAACCCCAGCCAGCAUGGCAAAUGGUCAGGGAUUGUGGGAGUUGCAGUCCAACAGUUGGAGAGCCAUUACUUCAGCAUCCCUAUGCUAGGUUUCUAGAGGGUACAAAAGAGUUUUCAGAAGACCAUGAAAGAACAUUGGGAACAGAGAAAUAUAUCGUUAAUUAUUUAAUCCUCAAUUUAAACUCAAACAUUUCUUAAAGUGAGUUCAUUUGCAGUUUUUAAAAAUAAGGAUCUUUCUUGGCAAAAUGGCAUGCAUGUUCUAUGGGGGUUUUAUUACUAGAGUAUUAACAUUUGAAUGAAAAUGUGGAGAAGCGCAACAUAAUGCAAAUAACAAGUAAAAUUAACUGGCAUGCGAUGUAAUUUGAACAAAGUAGAUUUUCAUAAUCUCUGCAAUGUCUGCUGAACACUUCUCCAAUAAUUUACAUGUUGCCAGCCUGAGUUGUUUUGCUUUGAUAUUGGAAAAAGUAGUUGCUGGACGAAAAUCAAUUUUAUUCUUCAGAAAAUAACAAAGCUUAUAAUCAGCAGGAGUUGGCAGUGAUUCAUAUUAUGAUGGAAAUUUGUUUACCUGACUGGACUACUUGAUUAACAUUGCAAUCCUGCUCCUUGUUUAAGCCAUCUCAGGUGGGGUUAAGAUUGUUCCUAAAUCCACCUUUCUCAACAGAGCCUGGAUGUGCACUGGCAAAAGGAAUCUAUGUGGGUACUGCAGAAUCCUUAUGCUAUCGGAGCUGGGUGACAUUGGAGAGAAGGGCAUCUGCUAAGUUCUCCAGGUCAUUUCUGAGAAAGUGGUGUGAAUGACUCAUUUAAACAACAUGUUUUCAAGGGAAUUGCUCAAUAGCCAAACCAGAGUUGCCAAAUGUCAUGUUGAAAUGGGCCCCAGGAAAGCCAAGCAUCUACCGGUAGGAUAUUCUUCUGGCAAAUAUAGUCAUUUAUCAAAUACAUUCAAAUAAACAUCUUUUACAACUGCUUGCUUUUAAACAGAGGUCUGUCCCUUCCCCCAAAUUUCCUCCACUUCUGUGGAGUUCUGUGCGCCAUUCAUUUCCUUCACAGCAGACUAUGGCUACAGAAUGAGCCUGGAAUAGGCUAUGCCAUUUCAGAGUAGAAAUAGGGGUGGCCACUUUUGAAUCUUUCCCCAAGGAAAACAAAAACAAAAGCACAGAAGCACAGCUCCCUGCACAUAAAAAACUAGCAUUACAAACCAGCCUGCUGUGCCAGAUGUCUAUUUGCAGGUAUCUUUAAUGGGAUCAGGAUUUGAAGAUGUGAUUACUCCAUCUGCAACCUGAAGUGGUGCAGUCCAUUCUUCCUCUUACAGGUCCUUCCACUUAAUGCUGCUAUAGGUGUAAACCAAAUUGCAUGUCUCUUUUGUCCCACACAGCUCCGUUAAUAACAUGUGCCUUACCUGAUCCCAAGUAUCUAGCAGCAUGACGUCAUCUUCAGCCAAGUCCUCCUGAGUGAAUUCUCCAGGAACCUCCUCAAUCUAUGUUUUUAAACAACAACAACAACACUUGGAGACAUACGUUCCUGUAUACAAAAUAGCGCAGACUAGUCUACAAUGAUUUAUGAGUGGAUGUCGAGGUAGAGUCCAGCUUAUGCUGGAAGUGGCAGAAGCUAUUUAAGGGUUGGUGAAGGUUGGGGGUCAAAAUCACAAGCAAUGGACAGUAUAGGUUGGACUGUGGGAGGUUGAAAGGAAGAAAUCACAGCCAGGAGAACAUUUAGAGACUGAAUCACAGUCAAGAUACUACAGUCAGGUGUUCAGGACCAGCUGCAGCAAGGUAAAGAUAAAGGGACCCCUGACUGUUAGGUCCAGUCGUGACCGACUCUGGGGUUGCAGCGCUCAUCUCGCAUUAUUGGCCAAGGGAGCCGGCGUACAGCUUCCAGGUCAUGUGGCCAGCAUGACUAAGCCGCUUCUGGUGAACCAGAGCAGCGCACGGAAACACCGUUUACCUUCCCGCCGGAGUGGUACCUAUUUAUCUACUUGCACUUUGAUGUGCUUUCGAACUGCUAGGUUGGCAGGAGCUGGGACCGAGCAACAGGAGCUCACCCCGUCGCAGGGAUUCGAACCGCCAACCUUCUGAUCAGCAAGCCCUAGGCUCAGUGGUUUAACCCACAGCACCAUCUGCGUCCCAGCUGCAGCAAGAGGGGAGGCCAAAGUGUCAAGGGUUAGAAUAGAUUAUAUCUGGUCUUUACUGAGCAUUCACUCUGAUUAUACAGUGGUUAUAUGGCAGUGAGCACUCAUCCUAAUUUGCUGGUGGGGUGUUCAUGUCCUUUCAUAAAUAAUUUGUUCAUCCCAGACUUUCCAAUGCAUUCCCCCAUCACGUUCCAAAGUAGUGACAGUCAGGAGGCACCCAUAUUUUCACAAACCAAAUAAUGUGGAACACAUCCUUCUUGGCCAACCAGAAUCUAGGACUAGCCAAAAGACAGAGAUGUUCCAGGUGGCAUUACACCUAUGGCAGCGCUUGUUAUUUAGCUGUCUGGAAACUUACCCAGGCAGUGAAUUUGAGGCUGUUGCUGAUUUAUUUUUAAUAAGAAAUGGACAUAUUGUGCUUGCACUGAGGAACCAGGUUUAGAAAGGAUUUAAAUAAAGAAUGAAAUGCAGUAAAUCUGUUAAAUUAACUAGACUCCCGGUGACAUUACUUUAUUUUUUAAAACCAAUUAGCAGAUUUUUUAAAAAAAUAGAGAAACACUUUUUUGGUACAGAACAUUGCAUUUUAGAAAAUUAGGGCAGAUGUGUGUGGGAAUUUGCAUUGCACUUGUUACUUGACUAAUGAGUAAGCUGUCAUCAUUCGAUACAAUAUAAAGCUACCAAAUAAGAGAAAAUAGGAUAGUGACUACUAAAAAGUUCAUCUCCCUCUCCCUUUGUACACAGAGCAACUAGAAUGCUGCUAAACGAUAAAAUUAAACUGGAUACUUCAGUCCUUCCCAUACAACUUUGAAACCUCUUACACUGCAGAAGUAUAUGUUUUCAUAAUCAAGCCAAGCUUUGUUCCAUUAAUAUGUUCUUCCUCAAAGCUUCCUGUGUUUUUACAGAAAGGUAUCAAGUUACUAUGUUCAGAUAUGUUGAGAACAAAAAUAUCCCACAAAGGGCCAGUGAAAGAUGUAGGGCCAACAGAGGCAAGCUGCCCUUCCCCCCACCAAUUUCCUCUCAUUGCCUUGCCCACCUACUCCCUGCCUCUCUCCGAGAAAGCGGUAAGGGGCUCCUUCCUCAGAGUGAGGCAUUCUGGGUGAGAUGCCCAGAGAGCACCCACACAGCUGUGGCAUUGCUGCCAAACCUACAAGUUCGAAGUUAACUAGGUUUAAUUAGAACUUGUAGCUGCCUCGGCAAAGUGAUGGCUGCACUUUCCCAGAAAACCUCAGCCAGCAUGCUUUACUUUGGCAAGGGAUCCCCUUCGGUCCUCAGAGUAGGGCAGGGUGGAAGAGGCGGAGGCCCUGCAGAAGGACCUUGUGCUGCGGCAGUGGCAUAACAGACAGAGAGGACAGCAAGCCGUAGGCCCACCGGUUGACAAUUCCAUCACACCCACUUCUUGCAAUGACUAUCUCCUGUGUUCCCUCAUCAGAGCACCAGCCUUCAUCCCCCUUAUUCUAUGUUUUUGUUCUGGUCAGAAACAUGCGACUGGAAACAUUCGAGGUUGACCACUAAGGUGUGACUAUUUAGGGGGCAAAUAAAAAAAAAGACAAUUUUUUUCCACCAUUCGCUCUGACUUAAUUAUAUAGCAAAACUGGAAGAUCUCAAUGGAGUAUCAGAUGAGUAUGCAUGUAUAUAAGUCAGUUGCUUUGUUUCUUCAGAGUCCAGAUACACUUGAUGGACACAUGGAACCAUGAUUUAUAAUUAGACAUUUAGGUGAAGCAAUGAGCAGAUAAGAAACUCUCUAUCUUGUUUUUAUUUAAUUAGUAUUAUUUGUUAUCAAUGUUUGUGUUAUGGAAAGUGGUCCUGGAAAAUGUUUCUUCUAGUUGUUGUU